rnacentral:lncRNA from 1 species
AGAGACAGCUGGGAUCUGGUGUUGCUGUGGCUGAGGCAUAGGCCAGCAUCUGUAGCCCUAAUUCGACUUCUGACCUGGGAACUUCAUAUGCCAUAGGUGCAGUCCUAAAAAGAUAAAGGAAAGGAAAAGCCUUCUGGCUAGAGAGCAUGUUCGCUGCGCAGCGGCACCUCCUUGCCUGCUGAUAAGAAAAGCGCAGGUCAUCAUGUUGCCCACAAUCCUUGUGAGCUCAUUUCUGCACCUAGUUGCCAACAUCAGUAGGCAGGAUUGGGGAUUGGUGCCCACAUUACUAGAAACAUAAAUGAUUAAAUUUGUGCCUUGAGAACCGCAUAAGAUUCUAUGCGAGGUGCAGACAGGUAUUUGGCUUUCCAAAGAAGAGAUAUCAUCAUUGCGUCUUUCUUUUAUACUAGAAUUCAUGAAGAACAAACCUGUGCAAAGGACUGUGGACAAUGUCGACUUGGACUAGGUCUCGGUUAGCCUCACCCCAGGGCUUUUCCCACAUUCAUCUCUACAGCGCUUAGAGCUCUUGCAGCAUCUGUUAGGCCAGCGUAAAUAGCAUGGGAUGAAUGUUGCUCUUAAAUAUAAUAAGAUAAAAUAAUUUUUAAACUAUAAAUAUCCUUUUCAAAUGUCAUUUUGUCUUCAGCAUUUUUCUCAUCAGAGGAACAAGAACUAUUGAGUUGGAAAAGAGAGGAGGAGUCCCUGCACUAACAGACCUCAGAGUUAGAAGCAAUUGAAUUCAGGGCAUAUUUGAAUAUUUCUCUAAAGAAAAAAAUUAUUUUAGACUGCUUUUUACUUGUAGUAGACUCUAGAUAUUUUUUCUGUUUAAGUCAGUGAGCCUGCAAUAAACUACAUGUCUUUAGAAUGUAUGUCAGAGUCAGAUGGCCUUUUAUUCUAUCACGUCUAAUUUUUCAACUUGUCUUCUUCAAAUGUAUUGUUUCCUGUAAAUCCUUAAUGUACUAUUAGUGUCAAAUUCAGAAAUGGAUUAUCUGUUUAAAUAUUUAUAAACCUAAGCAGGGUGUUUUCUGUGAUUAUUGCCACAUAAAUUACUGAUUUUAGAGAGAGUGCACAUUUUCAAACAUUGAGACCAAUUUUUUUUUUCAUUAAAAAAUUUCUAGGAGUUCCCGUCAUGGCUUAAUGAUUCGUUAACCACCGAGCCACAAAGGAAACUCCUGUUCAACAGACUUUGAGUGAAUGUCUCAGGAGAAGUGACUGGGUAGCUCCCAUUCCAAAAGCAUUUCAGUGCCUGGAGGGAAGACAGACUGUUAUAUCAAAUAAUCACAAUAAAAAAGAUAGGGAGACAGCUGAGUAUUAUCAAACAGUAGCAAUUCUUAUGUUCUGUGUUUUUCUGUUUCCCGUGUAUUCUUUUUUAUUUUUUGGCCAUGCCACAGUGUCUGGAAGUUACCAGGCCAGGAUCAAACCUGUACCAUAGCUGCAAUCCAAACCACAGAAGUCACAAUGCCAGAUCCUUAACCCACUGUGCCACCAGGGAACUCAGCUCGCUCAUAUUCUUAUGUUGAAGUAAUAAUCCCCAAUGAGAUGGCAUUAGGGGGUGGGGCCUUUAGAAGGCAGUUUGGUUUAGAUGAAGUCAUAGGGAUGAGGUCUCCAUAACAGGAUUAGCAUCCUUACAUGGAGAAAAAGAGACUAGAGCUUUCUCUCUCUACCAUGUAAGGACACAGCAAGGAGAUAGCACUGCAAACCAGGAAGAGGGCCUUUACUAGAACCUGACCAAGCAGGUACCCUGACCUCAGGUUUCCCGGCCUCCAAAACUGUAAGAAAUAAAUUUUCUAUUGUUUAAGCCACCCAGUCUAUGGUACUUUUGUUACAGCAGCCUGAGCUGACUAAAACAGCAAUUAACUGUUCCCCAAAGUUAAGUGCGGGUGUGGGCCUACUGCUCCAGAGGCAGUAUCACCCAACGCACAGAUUCAAGACCUUGGUCAAAACCUUCCGGUAAGUCUCCUUCCAGGUGCUGGCUUGUCUUAAAUUCCUCACGCUCUUCCUCUCAGUAGUAAAUCAUCACUAAUGCUGACUAAAUGGAAAAGUCCUGCUUAGCCACUGGAGACUCCGGGUGCCAGGUGCUCCUGAAAUAUCACAGGCAGAGUUUCUGCUACAAGGUGGUUAAAAAAAAGUACUCCAGUAAGGAUAACCUGACCCCCUUGCUGUACAGUGGGAAAAUUAAAAAAAAAAAAAAAAAAAA